GAAUCACUGAAAAAUUACGCAUAAAAAAUUCUAAAUACUUUAGUAAAAUUCGUAUGUAUUUGCUUGAAUAAGAUAUCUACAAAAUAAAAGGUUCAUAAUUUUUUAAUAAUAAGGAAAAUGGAUCGCACAUUAUAUUGUGUAUAUACAAAAGUUGAAGAGACGUUAUCGUAAUUAAAUUGCAGUACAUUCAACAAAUCAUUAUUCAAGUGUAAUAAGAAUUUAUAUCAGUUUUUAAUAAAUCUUAUCAGUUAAUG